ACGGAGGGUGCAAGCGUUAUUCGGAAUUACUGGGCGUAAAGCGCGUGUAGGCGGUCCUGCAAGUCUGAUGUGAAAGCCCCGGGCUUAACCCGGGAAGUGCAUUGGAAACUGUGGGACUUGAGUACUGGAGAGGAUGGGGGAAUUCCCGGUGGAGAGGUGGAAGUCGUAGAGGUCGGGAGGAAUAUCAGGGGCGGAGGGGCCCAUCGGGAAGGUAACCGACGCUGAGACGCGUAAGUGUGGGGAGCAAAAAG
rnacentral:rRNA from 1 species